AUUCACCUGAUGAGUCCAAUAUAGGACGAAACGUGAAU
rnacentral:hammerhead_ribozyme from 1 species